rnacentral:rRNA from 1 species
UACGUAGGGGCCUAGCGUUGUCCGGAUUUAUUGGGCGUAAAGAGCUCGUAGGCGGUUUGUCGCGUCGAAUGUGAAAACCCGGGGCUCAACCCCGGGCCUGCAUUCGAUACGGGCAGACUAGAGUUCGGUAGGGGAGUCUGGAAUUCCUGGUGUAGCGGUGAAAUGCGCAGAUAUCAGGAGGAACACCGGUGGCGAAGGCGGGACUCUGGGCCGAUACUGACGCUGAGGAGCGAAAGCGUGGGGAGCGAACAGG